rnacentral:rRNA from 1 species
AAUGAACGCUGGCGGCAGGCCUAACACAUGCAAGUCGAACGAAGCCUUCGGGCUUAGUGGCGGACGGGUGAGUAACGCGUCGGGAACAUACCCUUUGGUACGGAAUAGCCUCGGGAAACUGGGAGUAAUACCGUAUGUGCCCUUCGGGGGAAAGAUUUAUCGCCAAAGGAUUGGGCCCCGCGUUGGAUUAGGUAGUUGGUGGGGUAAUGGCCUACCAAGCCGACGAUCCCAUAGCUGGUUUGAGAGGAUGAUCAGCCACACUGGGACUGAGACACGGCCCCAGACUCCUACGGGAGGCAGCAGUGGGGGAAUCUUAGACAAUGGGGCGCAAGCCUGAUCUAGCCAUGCCGCGUGAUCGAUGAAGGCCUUAGGGUUGUAAAGAUCUUUCAGAUGGGAAGAUAAUGACGGUACCAUCAGAAGAAGCCCCGGCUAACUCCGUG